CAGAGGGCGCGAGCGUUGUCCGGAAUCACUGGGCGUAAAGGGCGCGUAGGUGGCCACCAUAAGGCCGCGGUGAAAGUCUGGAGCUCAACUCCAGAUCGGCCGCGGCGACUGUGGGGCUUGGGCACGGUAGAGGCAGAUGGAAUUCCGGGUGUAGCGGUGGAAUGCGUAGAGAUCCGGAAGAACACCAGUGGCGAAGGCGGUCUGCUGGGCCGUGGGACCGAAAGGUCUCUUGAGCCGACACUGAGGCGCGACAGCGUGGGGAGCAAACAGGAUUAGAUACCCUGGUAGUCCACGCCGUAAACGAUGGGCACUAGGUGCUUUGGGGAGCGACCCCCGGGGUACGGCGCUAACGCAUGAAGUGCCCCGCCUGGGGAGUACGGCCGCAAGGCUG
rnacentral:rRNA from 1 species